UGCCACGAGCUGGUCUGCAUCACUGCAAGGGAAAGGAAUUUGGGCCAUUGGUGCCCGAGCUGUGCUGGACUUCCCUGCCCAGCUGGACUUCUCCAAGUGUCCAGUCAAGGUCAGCACCCGGCAGACUCUGCUGGUGCGCAAUGUCGGUGCCCGGGCAGCUCGGUACCAGCUGAGCACCCAGAGAUCAUUUUGAACCUGCUCCAGACUGGGACCUGGGAAACACCAAGAGUCUGCACCUUGAGGCCUGCAGCAGCUGCCCCAGCGCUGGAGGGACUGAGAACAGAGUGACCACCCCCCAAGAGAGACUUUCUGAAUUUGUCAUCUUUUUUCAGAGCGGUGUCAUCGGGUAUUGUUCAUUUUGUGUGCUGGGGGGUGCCGUGCUUGUUAAAUAAACAGGUUCUUUCCACUC